UACGUAGGGGGCGAGCGUUAUUCGGAAUUAUUGGGCGCAAAGGGCGCGUAGGUGGCCUUGUAAGUCAAAUGUGAAAUCCCUCGGCUCAACUGAGGAACUGCCUUUGAAACUGCAAGGCUUGAGGCCGGGAGGGGGUAGCGGAAUUCCCAAUGUAGCGGUGAAAUGCGAAGAUAUUGGGAGGAACACCAGUGGCGAAGGCGGCUACCUGGACCGGUUCUGACGCUGAGGCGCGAAAGCGUGGGUAGCAAACAGG
rnacentral:rRNA from 1 species